rnacentral:rRNA from 1 species
AUUGAACGCAGGUGGCAGGUCUCUCAAAUGCCAGUUGGGCGGAUGCAGUGACUUUGCCUCUGGAUUCCGCGGCGGUCGGGUGUGUACUGCCUCGGAAACUGCCUGGUAGUGGGGGAUAUCGUACGGUAAUGGGCGCUAUUACCGUAUUCGUCCUGCGGGUGAACGUGGGGGAUCUUCGUAUCUCACGCUAUCAGAUGAGGCUAGGUCGGAUUAGCUAGUUGGUGGGGUAACGGCCUACCAAGGCGACGAUGCGUAACUGCUCCCAGAGGAGGAUCAGACACACUGGAACGGAGACACGGUGCAGACUCCUACGGGAGGCAGCAGUGGGGAAUAUUCGACGAGGGGCCAAAGCCUGAUCCAGCCAUGCCGCGUGAGUGCAGAAGGUCUUCGGAUUGUAAAGCACUUUAAGUUGGGAGGAAGGGCAGUAAGUUAAUACCUUGCUGUUUUGACGUUACCAACAGAAUAAGCACCGACUAACUUCGUG